rnacentral:rRNA from 1 species
ACAGCAGUAGCCGCGGGAAUACAGAGGGUGCGAGCGUUAAUCGGAUUUACUGGGCGUAAAGCGUGCGUAGGCGGCUAAUUGAGUCGGAUGUGAAAUCCCCGAGCUUAACUUGGGAAUUGCAUUCGAUACUGGGAAGCUAGAGUAUGGGAGAGGAUGGUAGAAUUCCAGGUGUAGCGGUGAAAUGCGUAGAGAUCUGGAGGAAUACCGAUGGCGAAGGCAGCCAUCUGGCCUAAUACUGACGCUGAGGUACGAAAGCAUGGGGAGCAAACAGGAUUAGAUACCCCUGUAGUCCCUGUCUCUUAUAC